rnacentral:misc_RNA from 1 species
UACGGGGGGGGCAAGCGGUGUUCGGAAUUACUGGGCGUAAAGGGUUCGUAGGUGGCCAACUAAGUCAUGCGUGAAAUCCCUCAGCUUAACUGGGGAACUGCGUUUGAUACUGGUUGGCCUGAGUGCAGGAGAGGAAUGCGGAAUUCCAGGUGUAGCGGUGAAAUGCGUAGAUAUCUGGAGGAACACCGGUGGCGAAGGCGGCAUUCUGGACUGUAACUGACACUGAGGAACGAAAGCCAGGGGAGCAAACGGG